GUCGAAAUGGUUCAUCUGCCAAAGCUUUAGAUUGAAGAUCUAAAUGUCCCUGGUUCGAACCCAUGUUUCGCCA
rnacentral:tRNA from 1 species